AUUGAACGCUGGCGGCAUGCCUUACACAUGCAAGUCGAACGGUAACAGGUUAAGCUGACGAGUGGCGAACGGGUGAGUAAUGUAUCGGAACGUGCCCAGUCGUGAGGGAUAACUGCUCGAAAGAGCAGCUAAUACCGCAUACGACCUGAGGGUGAAAGCGGGGGAUCGCAAGACCUCGCGCGAUUGGAGCGGCCGAUAUCAGAUUAGGUAGUUGGUGAGGUAAAGGCUCACCAAGCCGACGAUCUGUAGCUGGUCUGAGAGGACGACCAGCCACACUGGGACUGAGACACGGCCCAGACUCCUACGGGAGGCAGCAGUGGGGAAUUUUGGACAAAGGGCGCAAGCCUGAUCCAGCCAUGCCGCGUGCGGGAAGAAGGCCUUCGGGUUGUAAACCGCUUUUGUCAGGGAAGAAAAGGUUCUGGCUAAUACCUGGGACUCAUGACGGUACCUGAAGAAUAAGCACCGGCUAACUACGUG
rnacentral:rRNA from 1 species